rnacentral:rRNA from 1 species
CAGUCGCCGCGGGAAUACGUAGGUGGCAAGCGUUGUCCGGAAUUAUUGGGCGUAAAGCGCGCGCGGGCGGAUAGGUCAGUCUGUCUUAAAAGUUCGGGGCUUAACCCCGUGAUGGGAUGGAAACUGCCAAUCUAGAGUAUCGGAGAGGAAAGUGGAAUUCCUAGUGUAGCGGUGAAAUGCGUAGAUAUUAGGAAGAACACCAGUGGCGAAGGCGACUUUCUGGACGAAAACUGACGCUGAGGCGCGAAAGCCAGGGGAGCGAACGGGAUUAGAUACCCGUGUAGUCCCUGUCUCUUAUACA